AUUGAACGCUGGCGGCAGGCCUAACACAUGCAAGUCGAGCGGAGCGGCGGACGGGUGAGUAAUGCCUAGGAAUCUGCCUGGUAGUGGGGGAUAACGUCCGGGACCGGGCGCUAAUACCGCAUACUAUCAGAUGAGCCUAGGUCGGAUUAGCUAGUUGGGGGGGUAAAGGCCUACCAAGGCGACGAUCCGUAACUGGUCUGAGAGGAUGAUCAGUCACACGGGGACUGAGACACAGUCCAGACACCUACGGGAGGCAGCAGGGGGGAAUAUUGGGCAAUGGGCGAAAGCCUGACCCAGCCAUGCCGCGUGUGUGAAGAAGGUCUUCGGAUUGUAAAGCACUUUUAGUUGGGAGGCGUUACCAAGAAAGUAAGCAACGGCUAACUUCGUGCAAGCAGCCGCGGUAAUUC
rnacentral:rRNA from 1 species